GCCAUGUACAGAUAGCUCAACUAGUAAAGCAUGAGACCCCUGAAUCUUAGGGUCAUGGGUUUGAGUCCCACAAUGGGCA